rnacentral:tmRNA from 1 species
GUUGUUUAUCAACUAUAGCAAUAAACGCUAUAUGUAAUAGGUGUAUCGGACUCGGGGGCGGUACCCGACACCUCCACCA